rnacentral:lncRNA from 1 species
CGUCUCCUCUUACCGCCUCUUCAGCGCUUACGAGACCCCCAUCCCUUUCAUCAGCAGCAAGGGCCUGGAGAUCGCGUCCUUCCCUCACUGAAGAGAGAUCGCAUCCCUGUCUGUAAGCAGACAUCAGAUAAUAGUAUGGCUUAACAGUAGAGGAAAAGACACUGAAGAAUCUACUGUUUGCACUAGCAACUCAGUUCUGCGAAUAAAGUUAGUUCUUGUUCCUGCAUGAAAUAGUGAUCUGCCCAGUUUGUCUUUGUUACAGAUUCUAGAAUCCUAUCUGACAUUGUUGCAGAAUUGUUUGUGUGAUGAUUAUGACAUGCUAAAAACCUUUGGCUCAAUGAGGGGUAAUUGGUCACCAAUGUGACUAACAAAUGAUACAGUUCAUUACAAUUGAAAGCUAGAAUCUUGCUGCAUGUUAGGUUGUUACUAUGGACAAUUAUUGAUGCAAGAAUUGAUGUAUUAGCCACUUAAAACAGUGGAACAUCACAUCUAAACUAAAGAAGAACAAGAUUACAUGAAUUGUUUCAAUGUGUAUAUGCAAAUUUGAGAAAAAGGAAAAUGAAAAAAAAGUUCCUUCUUGUCAUCAAGAAUUUGCACAUGUAAUAACUAACUAUGUGAACCUUUAUAUGCUCCAAAAUAAAAAACAAUGGGAUAAAUAGUUAGAUAAAAGGUUUGGAAAACUCAUCAACUAUUUGUUUUUGUACUAAAACUACCUUAUAACUUAAAGAAGCUUUCAAGUAGUUUAUUAAUCAUAUAGAUGAAAACAAGCAAAUAACUCAUGUUAAACAAGGGAGAUUAAUGAAAUACAUAGAACUAAAGAAAAGGAUUUAAAUUGUUUUAAGAUUAAAUGGAGAUGGCAAAAUGAAAGAACAAAGAUUAAUCCUAAUACAUGUUGGUCAUUCAGCCCUACACCAUAAGUGGACUGACAAUUCUUACCAACUCAAACUUCUACAGUCAAUAGCAUUUAUAUCAUUUCUUCCAUAUCUGAGGUAGACUUGUGAAAAAUAAAAUUUGUUCGUAGAGCAAAUAUGGAGAAAACUACUCUUUUAGAAGUAACAUAAAAAUAGGGAAAGGAAGGCCAAACUUUAGGAUCAGGGAAUAUGAUGAACUACUCACUAUCCAUCAUAAGGAACAGUGUUGGUCCGUUGAUAUAUUUAAAGUAAUACUACGAACUAUUUCUUUCUAUCCUUUAGGAACUAAUGCUGUAGCAGUAUGUGUUUUGGUUGCUGAAGUAAUGCCAUGAAAGGCACUUCUCAUUGUCCAUCAAACAGCAAUGCUGGUUGCUGAUAUAUCUGAAAUAAAGGGUGAUGACUGUAUCAAUAAGCAUUUUGGUUAAUGAUAUUUCAGCUACCUAUCACAGGAAAUGAACCAUUAUUGCUAAUUAUACAUGGAUGUCAGAUUUCACAAGAAGCUGAUGACUAAAUAGACAAUUGGCAAUUGAAAAACCACUAUACAGACAGCAAACUGAGACAGAAACCUCACUGAUACCACUGCUCAUUGCAAUUGAAAGAGACAGAAUGGAAAUAAAGACAAUGGUAAACAGGAAAAGAACAUUGAACACAGUCAUGCAACAAUGCGAGAUGUCCUAUUUAAGCUCAGCAAAUGGAAAAAGAAGAUAGAUAGUACUGCCUCUUGCUAACCAAGUAAUUAUGGGGUCCAGGAAAAGAAUCAGAAAAGGAUGGAAUUGGCUUAACAACUUUUUGCAUCAAUCAACUGUGAUUUCAGACAGGUAACAAAGUGAUACAUGGGAAAGUGACAGCCAACAGUUACCAGUAUUUCAUUGAUGAGAACUUUACUACCGGCUCUUUAUCAGAAGUCAGCGGACAAAGCUGGUCCCUUAUCCUACUCUACCCUUCCAGUGAUUUCAUUGUUCCUUCAAGAUAGCAACUGGCAUAUGGACCACCUAUUGUCCUCUUCUCAGUUCCCUCAACACAGGGAAAAAGAGCAAUCUACACUAGAAAAUAAAUGUGCUGGCUGGCUAAACUUGCUUUCUCUAAAGGGAAGAAGAUGACCUAAACUUAAGACCAAGCACAGUGGUGGCGUUAGCUUCCCACACGAUCUCUAUCUUAUGCAUUCAAGUCUAUUUCUGACUUGAGAGGUUGUUGCAUCAUCACUUCAGAAGUAUGGCUGAGUGACCCUUGUAAACCUACUUCAGACGUUAGGAACAAUGCAUAAUGGUAUCUAUGAAUUAAAACAAGACUAAGAGAUCUAGCAAAUUUUCUGGUACCGCUGUUAUAAAUUGACGAAGUUGAUGUGACAAACCUGCGUGUCACAUCAUCGAGGGAUACUCAAAACUUUCAUCAAGAAGAAAAGUAUCAAAUAUUGAGGGUGCAGAUGGAUGAAUGAUGAUGUUGUCCAUUCUGUAGGUUCUUGUUUAUCCAUCGGUCAUCUGCCAUAGUCUAAUCAGCAUUGAAGCAAGAGUACUUGUUCUUGUUCAUUCUUCCCUACUUUCCUCUUAUUGAUCCCAUCAUUCCUUAGACUAGUGACUUAUUACAUUGACCCAGCUAUCGUACCACUUUAGUUUCAUCAACUCAAAGGGACAAGAACAGUGGAUGCUAGAAAUUUAGAUGUACCUAGCUUUGCCUGUAAAUAUAAAGACAUGUUCCUUACAUGAAAUCAAGCAUAAUUGCUGCUAAUAAAGUCAAAAAAAAAAAAAUCUCUCCCUUUCUCACUUGAAGGGCAUUGCAUCAACCUAAAAGCAUGUAUGGCAUCAAGAUCAUUAGGUUGUACAUUGGCACUACAAGAAUCUGUAGUUUGGUUGGUUCAGCCAUUCUGAAGGUUCUAUUAUUUUAGCCAUCACCAACUCAUCUUUCAUGGGCUAAAAAGGACAAAACUAGUACAUGAGGCUCCCUUGAUAAAGGAUCUAUGGGUCAAUGUAUGCAGCCAUGCCCAGUGCUGAGAUGGUUUUCAUGGGUUGAUUAGUCUAAAAAACAACAGUUCAGAUCCUUUGGUUAAAAACUAAACAUUAUUACCCACACUAAACCUAUCCAUCUCUGUAGAUGAGUGGAAGCAUGAAGCAAAAAUUGGCAUGGAUAAGGAUAUUUUAUUAAUUUAAAGUGAGUGCAAGGUAAGUAUGUGGCUUAAAUUUUGGGAAUUUACAGAUGUUGAAUUUUGUUAUUUUUAUUUUUUAAUAUGUAAAUAUUAAGAGAAAGGAAAAGGAAAUACGAAGAAAAAUAAAUCGAAAAAUUGAUUUAAACUGACAUGUAAAGGCUUCUCAGUGGAUUUUUGUGGAGAAAAUCUUGAAAAGGACAUUUGUGAAGAGAUUCUUGAGAAGAGUCACCAAUGUGACAAGUAAAAGUCGGUUUAAGCACAAAAGGUCCCUCAUUUUCAAUCUUCAAUAUUGCCUUGUCCACAAUUCUCCUACCAGUUGCAAAAGAAAGCAUACAUAACGAGAUAAAAAUAGCCAAAAUCAUAAUGGACAAAAUUUUGAUUGGAGAUUUAGGUGCAAAAGCAAGAUCUAUAAGAAUCAUGUAACACAAAUAUCACAUGCUGAAUGCUUUGGGAGAACUAUGAAAAAUACUUUGGUUAGAGACUACAUAAGUGAUUGUUGCCUUUAACAUUUAUGAUUGCUAAUAAUCUCGCACACUAAUGCUCGCGAAAACAAUUGUCCAAAUCAAAACAAAAAUUAUAUGCCAAUGUUUAGACAUGUAGCAAUCUAUUAAUUUGGGAUGAACACGAGAGAAUGAAGAUAAUCAUUCAUGGUAAGAUUCUGUAAAGUGAGAUGAAAUAAUGUGGAGUCUAGACAUUACCCUUAAUUUGAGUUCAACCCUCGCAAAGGAUUCACGCAAGGAUUCAGAGAUUCAGGAACAAAGGCCUGUUUUUGUUAUUCAGAUAUUCAAGAGCUCCUCCUCAGCAAUUUUCCCUUUCCUCAUCAUCAAAUCGCUUCUAACACCCAAAGCCUGCACUGUAAGAACGUCAGCAGGAUGCAAAGAAGAGUAUGACCGAAAGAUUCAAAGAAGCUACUUGGGAAUCGAGGACAACAAGUAAAGACUACAUCUUGCGGACCAAGGAUCUUUAAGCAAGUCAUGAAUCAAGGAACAGAAAAGAACAAGAAACCGUUUUCAAGUCUUCAGCAAAAUCAGUAUGGGUUUCAAUCUCGAGAAGGGCGGGCCUCUCUCGCAUGGCCCAUCUCAUGCCCUUCGGCCGCGGCGGAGAGGCGACGUUUUCCCAAUCUACCAACUCUUCGAUCCAACAGGAUGGGAACGGGAAGCCACAC